rnacentral:rRNA from 2 species
UGGGGAAUAUUGGGCAAUGGGCGCAAGCCUGACCCAGCAAUGCCGCGUGAAGGAAGAAGGCUUUCGGGUUGUAAACUUCUUUGACAGGGGAAGAGCAGAAGACGGUACCCUGAAAACAAGCCACGGCUAACUACGUGCCAGCAGCCGCGGUAAUACGUAGGUGGCAAGCGUUGUCCGGAUUUACUGGGUGUAAAGGGCGUGUAGCCGGGAAGGCAAGUCAGAUGUGAAAUCUGGAGGCUCAACCUCCAAAUUGCAUUUGAAACUGUUUUUCUUGAGUACUGGAGAGGCAGACGGAAUUCCUUGUGUAGCGGUGAAAUGCGUAGAUAUAAGGAGGAACACCAGUGGCGAAGGCGGUCUGCUGGACAGCAACUGACGGUGAGGCGCGAAAGCGUGGGGAGCAAACAGG